AGCCUGACCCAGCAAUACCGCGUGAGGGAUGAAGGCCUUCGGGUCGUAAACCUCUGUCAGCAGGAACGAUGGGUCUCCGUGCUAAUACCACGGAGACUUGACGGUACCUGCAAAGGAAGCCCCGGCUAACUCCGUGCCAGCAGCCGCGGUAAUACGGAGGGGGCAAGCGUUGCUCGGAAUUACUGGGCGUAAAGGGUCCGCAGGUGGCCUCGUAAGUUGAAUGUGAAAUCUCAGGGCUUAACCCUGAAACUGCAUCCAAUACUGCGGGGCUUGAGUCCAAGAGAGGUUGGCGGAAUUCCCGGUGUAGCGGUGAAAUGCGUAAAUAUCGGGAGGAACACCAGUGGCGAAGGCGGCCAACUGGCUUGGAACUGACACUCAGGGACGAAAGCGUGGGUAGCGAACCGGAUUAGAUACCCGGGUAGUCCACGCCCUAAACGAUGGAUGCUAGGUGUGGGGAUGAAAAUCUCUGUGCCGAAGUUAACGCAUUAAGCAUCCCGCCU
rnacentral:rRNA from 1 species